rnacentral:rRNA from 1 species
UAGGGAAUCUUCCACAAUGGACGCAAGUCUGAUGGAGCAACGCCGCGUGAGUGAAGAAGGUUUUCGGACCGUAAAGCUCUGUUGUUGGUGAAGAAGGAUAGAGGUAGUAACUGGCCUUUAUUUGACGGUAAUCAACCAGAAAGUCACGGCUAACUACGUGCCAGCAGCCGCGGUAAUCGUAGGUGGCAAGCGUUGUCCGGAUUUAUUGGGCGUAAAGCGAGCGCAGGCGGAAGAAUAAGUCUGAUGUGAAAGCCCUCGGCUUAACCGAGGAAUUGCAUCGGAAACUGUUUUCUUGAGUGCAGAAGAGGAGAGUAGAACUCCAUGUGUAGCGGUGGAAUGCGUAGAUAUAUGGAAGAAUACCAGUGGCGAAGGCGGCUCUCUGGUCUGCAACUGACGCUGAGGCUCGAAAGCAUGGGUAGCGAACAGGAUUAGAUACCCUGGUAGUCCAUGCCGUAAACGAUGAGUGCUAAGUGUUGGGAGGCUUCCGCCUCUCAGUGCUGCAGCUAACGCAUUAAGCACUCCGCCUGGGGGAGUACGACCGCAAGGUUAAAC